UACGUAGGUGGCAAGCGUUGUCCGGAUUUACUGGGCGUAAAGAGCGCGCAGGCGGUUGAUUAAGUCGAAUGUGAAAGCCCCCGGCUCAACUGGGGAGGGUCAUUCGAUACUGAUCGACUUGAAGGCAGGAGAGGGUAGUGGAAUUCCCGGUGUAGUGGUGAAAUGCGUAGAUAUCGGGGAGGAACACCAGUGGCGAAGGCGGCCUGCUGGGACGUGGCUGACGCUGAGGCGCGACAG
rnacentral:rRNA from 1 species